CUCUUAACAGCUAAACUACUUCUCUUCUUUCUCCUCUUCCUCCUCCUCUAUCUCUACCCCUUCACCUCCAGUCUGCAUUUCCUAAAUUCUCUAAGUCAUCUUGUCAACAAUGAAGUGAGGAUAAAUACAGAGUGAGGUUGAGGGCACAGUGUGGGACAGGGGAGGGCUGCCCACACCUUUGUGACACUUCUUUUCAUCCUACAGAAUACACAGCAUAUGGUGUCCCAUGACACCCGGGUGUUUGGUGCUCCUCACUGGAGGCUCAGUUACUCUCUGGAAGUCGUUGUCCUAGGGUUGGUUACUGGACUACUCAAUAUUUCUAUCUCAUUGUAAGUCAUAUUUAAAAAGUUUAUUUUCCAAGAAAAUUGCUAGUGUAGAGGGGUUUUGUUUGGGGGGGUGCCUUUUUUUUUUUUUUUUAAUAAUUAUGGAAUUUGACAUCCUCAUUAAGAAUGGCCUUUCCCUGGUUUAAUUCCUGGUUUUUCUUUCUCUCAAAUAGAAUUUGAAGACAUCCAGUUUGACCUUUAACAAGAAGCUUUAGAUGAAACCAGCAGCUCACUCUGGGUUCUGUUUUGUUUUGGUGCUAGGGAUGAAACCUUGUACACAUAAAGCAGGCUCUCUACUGCUCAGCUCUGUCCUCAGACCUCUGCUAAUGUAGAGAGUUAGUUCCACCUGGGUUUCAUGAAUUCUUCAUCCUGGUCUCCUUGGAUUUUGUGUUAUGCUCUACCUACUUCUGCCCAUCCAGGUCACAUACUCUAUCAACAGAAACAGGCGUGGCGGUGGAGUCUGGCUCCGGCUCUGGUCUUUGGCUCUGGCUCUGGCUCUGGCUCUGGCUCUGGCUCCAGCUCUGGCCUUUGGCUAUAGGCAAGGUGCUCAGUUGCUGGUGGUGAAGGCAUUGAUGAGGAGGCCACUUGAAACCCCUGAGGAGUUUUGCAAGCAUGUGGGGUUUCCCACAAAAGAAAAGUGAACUGCUGGCCAUGGUUUCAGAUCUGCCUGUCCCUUCAGCAUCCCUCUGCCCUGCACUGAGCAGACCCGUGAACAUACAAAGUGACUGGCCCUGUCCUAGUUUUCAUGAAAGAGGCCCCAGAAGGUGAUGGCACAAGCCAGGGGGUAACUACAGAAGAGUGUAGCUCAGCCAGGAGUGAGAAUAAAAACCACCCCAAGCUCAGGGGGCCUAGGAGCCUGGAGUCUGCCACAGCCUCGCUAGUAAGGUGAGCAGGGCUGGCUGUGGUCCCUAGGCUUUUAUAUUUAGAAGUAGAUUUGCUGUCUCUGCUGUGUUCGUAGUUUAGUUCUGCUGUGAUUUAAACUUAGCUUGGCUCUUGUUAUUUCUCCGUUCCCAUAGUCCAUGUGUGCUGUAAUGCGCAGAGAUCUGGGGGAGUCGGAAUGGAGUCUGCACUGCAGAACAUGGAGAAUGUACAGCUCUAUUUUAUUUUGGGGGGACAGGGUCUCACUGUGUGUAGCUCUGAGUGUCCUGGAACUCACUCUGUAGACCAGGUUGGCCUCGAAUUCAGAGAUCUGCCUGCCUCUGAUCCCCAGGCAGCUGCCUCUCUACUGAUUUUAGUUGUUGGCUGUUUUUUUUUUUUUUUUUUUUUUUUUUUUUUUUUGGCGGGGGUUGGCUUGGUUUUUGUUUUGUUUUGGUAGCCCAGGCCAGCUUUGAACUCAUGAUCUUCAUGUGUCGGCCUCUGAAGUACCGGGCUCACAGCACAGGCAUAUACCAGCAUACACAGCCACUAAUGCGUAUAGAUGUUUCAUGGCAGGCGAGAGGUGUUUGUCACAUUGGAUAACGCCCUCCCUGUGCUCUGGGAUUAAAUCCAUGGUGGUCUCCUUGAGCGGUGGAAGGUUUGAAUGGCAUUUCCCUGUCAGCCACUGCAUCUGUGAUUGCCAUCCUGUCCACUACAGCUUACAUGCACGUCACACAGACACACACACACACACACACACACACACAUACACACACACAUACACACAGUCUUGAUUGCAGUGAACUGAAGUUUCCCAGUUGUGGUUAUUGGUUGGUUGGGGUUUUCCAUGUGUUAUGGUGGAGGCCCAGACACUUAUACUGAGAUGAUGUGACGCCGUUUGGGUGGAGUAUGUUCCUAGAAGCCAUUCCACACCUUGCCUUUUAACCAGGGGUCUUGUUCCCUAUGUGGCUCCACUCUCGGGGUUCCUGCAGUCACACUUGCAGGUCUUGUCACCACCAUGUUGCAUUAAUCCUCUGCUCAUCUUACAGGGUGUGUUCUGACUCCCCCAUUUCCCAGGGCCCAAACUUUAUGAAUCCGCUCCAGGUUGGGACUUAGAUGACCAUACCUAUUCCCUCUGCUGCUGCAGUGAGGUGCUCUGUGGCCCGUGUGGCUCUGGGACCUUCAUGACUCUUUCUUCUGGAACCUGGACGGCAUGCUAGAGCUCAAAACUGGAGAGCCGGUGGGCACACUGCUUCCGACAGACUUCAUUUCCAAACCAAGGCAGUGCUCUGAAAGGACUCCUGCUGUGACCACAAGCUCAGAGAAUGGAAGGCAGGUGGGCUCAUCUGUGUGACAUAGGUGGCUAGGACCCAGCAGACCUGGAGAACCCACUCGCUGCACUUGAGCUAGCCCAAGUGUUGAAAGCUCCCUUAGUUCUGAGACCUGUUUGAUUGUGAGUUAUUGGCAUAAAGUUCGAAGCUGUGGGAAAAGUAUAAACCCAGAGUAGCAUUCUUCUUCCCUCUCCUACCUCCCCUUCCCCGCCCUUCCCCACACAGAGACAGCCCUCAGGUGGCUUGGCAUCUUUCUGGAAGUGUCUACUCCUACAGAACUUAGCACCUGACCCUGUCUCAGAGCAAGUAGGCUGUGACUUGUUCAUUUUGGGGGGGUUUGAUUUCAUGCAUACACUUCUCAUGUACGGUGAGGAACAUGCACUUGGAGGCAGGGGGACAUAAGUCCCCUGGAGCCUUUGGAAGGGUGUCAGGACAGGCAGGAGUGAGCCUGGGAGGGGCACAGAGCCGCCGCAGGUGUUUCUUUUCCUGACCGCGGCUUAUGGCCGCGCUCAGGUUUUGCUUUUCACCUUUGUCUGUGAGAACAUGAACA